AUAGCAGCACGAAGUCCGUGAGCUUACUGAGCCCCAGCCCUGACCUGCCUCUUUCGUGCACCCUAUGACGCCCACCUAUCUCGAGGCCUCCCUCCUCCAACCCUGUGUUACUUGCGCCUCGAGGUGCUGUAAUGGGACUGUGUGAGGAAGUGGAUGAGCUCCAAAAGGCAGGGGUACGCAGGGAGAAACAUGAUUUGAGGCUGGUUGUACUGAAAUUAAAACACGUUGCGGCACAGAUAUCCACUUUCUUGGCAGACUUGUCCACAACUGUGAAUUAGGAUCGGUGAGUUACCACCCACGUUCUCUCGAUGCGUCACUAGACACUUCGUUAUUAUUCUCAAGAUGAUUUUUCACUUUUUUAUUGCUAUAUUUGUAAUUGUGCUAAAAUGACUUUUGAAAAAUUUAUAGAAUUUUUUCGUGACCUGAUCUUGUAGUUUAGAGUAUUGUGCGAUCCUUUUUCUCUUGGACACGAUGAGGUCUCGUGAUAUUCUCCUUUAUCGGCGUUAAUCACAACGUUACACAAUAUUUUUCAUUUUCCAGUUUCAUUGUUCGUUGCUGAGCGCUCAUAACUGUUAAUUAUUUUGAAAAUGUCUAAUUUUAGAGCAAAUUAGCCUAAGACUUUUCUCUUUAAAAUUUCAUCGACUAAAAAAAAGUUCUUAUCACCUUAUCUUCUAAAUCCACUUGUUCUCGAGAUAAUAGAACAUUUAAUAAAUAGGUUCAUCUGCUUAAGACCUGAUGAUUUUCUCUUCAACGUUAAUUAAAUAAUAAAUAUUACUAAAUAUGCGUUUCACACUUCGUUGUAUUUUUACCACUGGCAAUUUUCAGCAUCUAAAUUACUCCAAUUACUACUCGAGAUUUAAAUUCCGCAAUUCUCUCUGAUUGGCCUCGUACCUCCGCAAAUUGGCGCCUAGGCGCACAUGAUGGCAGCAACACUUGGUACCGCAUUGCGCGAUUCAUCCAACUGCUAUUGCAUUACAAACCCCCCGACUAUUUUUCGAUUUUUUCUCCUCUCACCCCAUAUCGACGGCUAGAUUUUUGGGGUCGCAGUGCCGCAUAGCCCAAUAGGGCCACCACGUCUGCGCGAUAACGGAUUAUGCGCAUAUCUAGCUUUUUGUCACGAUGAAAAUGUGGUGGUGAAGUGGAACGAGGGGGGCGGAGAAACCUCGAGAUUUUAUAAAACGAAAGGGUCGCAGGGGCUCUCGUGUCACUGUGGAUUUUGAUGACUCGGAUGAGGAGUCGUUCUCCUUUCCCCAGGCGUGUCUCGGUGACUCUAUACCGAA